GACGCCCCUAACCGAUCCCCCGGCAGCGAUAUUUUUUUUCCUGCCUGGUUCCGUACACUCGAGCAAAUGUCUACAUUUGGCAACACUGUCGCGGGAGCGGAGGCCGGUGGGGGAGACGGCGCGCGCCGCGCCGUCAUCAGCUAACGACAACAGUGGGAAGACGGAAGAGGCUGAGUGAGAGAGCUCUGUGGAUGUAUACAGCCAAUAAUGGACAGUGGCAACAUAAAGAUUUGUUCAGAGUCACACUGCAGCAUUGGACUCCUUCAUGAUGUACGACAACUUAGUGCACUGUUACCGGAGGGAUACCAGUACACAGUGUGCGAAUACGCAGGUACAACUGAAGGCACAAAUGCUGUUCUACGAUUACAUGUCACAACUGAGGCCAUCGCCCGUACGUGGAUAAAAGAGUUUCAAGGAAAAACUAAAACUACUCUACGAACUCUAUCCAAGCAUAAAGUGACUGGUCAGAAAAGAGUCUUCCAGAUGCAUAUACGGUGUCACCACAAUACCAAACCCAGGAGUAACACGGCCGAUUCAAGACAUGGAUCAAAAAACACAGAUUGUCCAGCCACCGUGAGUGUGAUCGUGAAGCAAACAAAUACUAAGCGAAAGAGCAGAUCAACUGAUACCCAUGCAACUGCCCUCCCUAUGGAGGUGAGACUGAACUUCACUCACAAUCAUCCAGUCCAGAGUGCCAGUGCACUGAAACACAGAGAUGUUAGUGACGAGGUAAAGGAUAUUUUCAUCAACCUCUACAAGUCUCUGCAUUCACCAUCAACUGCACUUCAUACAUACAAGUAUGAUCUGUUUGAAGAAUAUGGAGACGAAUUUGCACACAUCUCAGCAGACAGAGCUAAAUGUCCAGACUUGCAGUGGUGCUACAGUCAAGGUGUGUGGGGGGUUUCAUCUGGCAACUUAUAGCGCUUGCGCUCGUCCCACUCUGCCUUCUCCAUUAUGUUAUAUAAUAAUAAUAAUAAUAAUAAUAAUAAUAAUAAUAAUAAUAAUAAUAAUAAUAAUAAUAAUAAUAAUAGGCUAAUUCAAAAUGUGUGGGUGUCUGUUGUUAGGUUGGAAAGUCAACUAGUGAUAAAAUUCCUAGACGUUUCGCUAGAUGAUAGCUUCCUCAGAAGAGAUGUGU